UUUUAAGUAUAAGUAUGUCUCAUAUACUAUUUGGGAUAUACUUAUACUAAAU
rfam:Myotis davidii contig170908, whole genome shotgun sequence.